UGAACUGGAAUUGACAAUUACCCGGCCU
rnacentral:piRNA from 1 species